rnacentral:rRNA from 1 species
AUGAACGCUGGCGGCGUGCCUAAUACAUGCAAGUCGAGCGAACAGACGAGGAGCUUGCUCCUCUGACGUUAGCGGCGGACGGGUGAGUAACACGUGGAUAACCUACCUAUAAGACUGGGAUAACUUCGGGAAACCGGAGCUAAUACCGGAUAAUAUAUUUAACCGCAUGGUUCAAUAGUGAAAGACGGUUUUGCUGUCCCUUAUAGAUGGAUCCGCGCCGCAUUAGCUAGUUGGUAAGGUAACGGCUUACCAAGGCAACGAUGCGUAGCCGACCUGAGAGGGUGAUCGGCCACACUGGAACUGAGACACGGUCCAGACUCCUACGGGAGGCAGCAGUAGGGAAUCUUCCGCAAUGGGCGAAAGCCUGACGGAGCAACGCCGCGUGAGUGAUGAAGGUCUUCGGAUCGUAAAACUCUGUUAUUAGGGAAGAACAAAUGUGUAAGUAACUAUGCACGUCUUGACGGUACCUAAUCAGAAAGCCACGGCUAACUACGUG